rnacentral:lncRNA from 10 species
GUGGAAUUGCUAGGUCAACUGGUGUGACAUGGUCUUAAAGCUCUAUGUACCCAUUGUUAAAUUGCCCUCCAGGAAUGUUGCAUCAGUUUACACUCACAAGACAGGGCCAGGAGAGAAUAUAUGCCAGGGGCUCCAUGUGGGAUUAUUCCAACACCUUUGCCAAUUGAUAGAAAAUGAGAUCUCCUUGUUUUAAUGUGCUCUCUUAUUAUUAUUAAUUGGCCAUCUUGGGUUUUUAUAGGUUUUUUUCUCAUCCAAGAAUCUAAGAAGAGUCCAUAAAGAAGGCUGACAACAAAUGAAUGGAGAAAACACAAGCCCCAAAGCCUGCAGCACAGCCAGGGACCCUCUGUGAGCUGAGUCUGUGAGUUAGGGACCAGCUCUCUUCUCCAUGAAGCCUGCCCUGAUUCUCCCCAGAGGGAAGGCUGGCCCCCUUUUCCAAACUCCCACUACAUUUUGUCCAAACGAUGUUGGAAGCCACUGGGACUCCCCAAGAACAAUAUCCAAGUUGAAGACACCUUUUGCCACCCCCGCCAGUGGACAUGGAAGGAGUGCCGCACACACCCGCCCUGAAUGCAGAAGCAGCAGAGUUCACCCCAAGGAUUUCACCAAGCACUAGUGUUCCUUGUUUUGCUUGUUUUUGAUGCCUAAAGAGCCAACAAGUGACUAACAGACUGUUGUUCAUGGAUUGUCUAAAGUCAGCCUUCUAAUAGCACCCGAAGGGCUCCUCAUGCUGGUGCAACCCCGCUGCCACUGCUCCUGAGCCUAUGUUCCCUUCUCUCCACCAUGCACCUUCUGACAUCAUGACUCACUGGAGAACCAGGCCAGGAUCCCAACCACCCCGUGUCUCAGUGGGCCUGGGCGGGAGCCCUGUGCUGCCAGGAGGAGCAGAGAUAACAUUGAUUGUCCAGAAGCUCUACGAUGGAGACAGGUUGUCAUUGGAAGUCCAACAAGAGACAGAGGCAAGUGAGCUUUAUGGAGCACCUACUGUGUGCCAGGCCCCAUGCAACGGGCUUCUGUGGAGGCCUGCCCCUGCCAUCUUCACAACCCUCAGGUGAGCCAGCUUUAGCUUUACAUUUUAUAGAUGAAAAAAGCUGAGAGUUGAUGAGACUAAGAUACUAUUUGUGAGACCAAAAGAAAGAGGAAAAUCUCAUUUAAUCUCCAGGAUUUGUUAAAUUAGGCAAAGACAAGAAGGAACUUUUAUGUGAGGACAGACUGAAGUCCUGGCAUUUUCCAGCUCAGAAAGUCUGAGAAAGGAUAUGCUCAAGAACUAUCACAUGAAGGAAGAGCUCCUGCUUGACCGUGAGCUGGGCCGUCAAAUCCCACAUCCUCAUGGGGACUCGAUGCAGCCUGGAUAGCAGGGUGGUAAGACUCUCUGCUUCCUGAGCACAGGGUCUACCCUCCUCUUGUGAACUCUGUGUCCUUCACCAAGUCAUUGAACCUCCAUCUGCUUCCUCACCUGUUUAAGAAAGGAUGAUCGUAAUAGGACCCACAUCAUAGGGUUUUGUUAAGGGCUAAAAGAAAAAUAUGUAAAGCGCCUUGCCGAGUGCCUGGUACUACAGUAAGGAUUUGAUAAAUAUUAGCUGUUACAGUAAUUAGGAGUCAUAUUUUAUACCCUACAAGAGGCAUUUGUAGAUCAAAAGAAAUCUCACAUUACAGGGUGGGAAGUAAACUCACUAAACAUAGCCCCAAGGGUGGCACAAACGGAAAAUAUAAAUAGAAUAAAAAAGGGUUAGAUCACGAAUGGGUAACCUUUUCUCUACCAUAAGCCAGUGACACACAGGGGCAAAAAGAAAAUCCAUUUCUGGCCCCAUGUAAGUCAAAGAAGCCAUUAUAGGCUGUGAAGGGAAUUCAAUUAGUCACUGGUUGCCAUGCCAAUGCAAACAUCACCCUUCCACCUACUCUACCAUCAACACAUUUGAAUAAGUAACAAUGAUAAUAGCAUGCACUAAAAAUGCUAUUUUUAAAAAAGUUACAUGUGCUUCUUUCAAAAGUCUGGUUUUCAGAAAUAAUUGCUAUAGUCCAGAUGAGAAUUCACAUGGAAUCCCUAAAAUGGGUUGAGUAUCAUCAGAGAAGAGACAUCUGUAGAUUAUUAAGGGACUCUUAGGGUUUGGAGUUGAUUUUCUUGUGGGGGAGGGGAAAUUUUUUCAACAUUCCAAGCUUGAUCAAGCAACCCUUCAUGGUGUCAGAAAUUGAGCUCAGACAGUCCCUUGCUCAGCACUGCUCUCCUCACACCCUGAAGCCUGACCUGGAUCCCUGGUUUCAUUAUGCCUUCUUCAAGCUUUGCUUGAGUAUCUACAAUUUGGCAAUGUGUACCUAAAACUUAAAAAAAUACUUUGAUCUAAGAAUUUACUUAAAAAAAUACUUUGACCUCAGAAUCAAUCCUAAGAAAACCAAUACUGAUAUACAGAAUUUAUAGGAGCAAAAAUAAAAGUAAAGAACAGAAAUAACCAAAAUGUCCAAAUUAAAUUGUUAUACAUCCAUAUGCUAGAAUAUGAUGAGCUAUUAAAAAUGAGGCUGUCAUAAAAAUGAAUGAGAUCAUGUCCUUUGCAGGCACAUGGAUGGACCUGGAAGCCAUUAUCUUCAGCAAACUAAUGCAGGAACAGAAAACCAAACACGGCAUCUUCUCACUUACAAGUGGGAGCUGAACAAUGAGAAUACAUGGACACAGGGAGAGGAAAAACACACACUGGGGCCUGCAGGUGCAGGGGGAGGGAGAGCAUCCGGAAAAUUAGCUAAUGCAUGCUGGCUUAAUACCUAAGUGAUGGGUUAAUAGGUACAGCAAACCACCAUAGCACACGUCUACCUAUGUAACAAACUUGCAUAUCCUACACAUGUGUCAUGGAACUUAAAAUUAAAUUAAAAAAUAAGAGAUGGAAAAAAAUGAGGCUGUCAAAGAACAUUUCAUGAUGUGGGAAAAUAUUGUAUAUUCUGUUAAGUGAAGCAUGCAGAUUACAGAAGAGAGGAUUUGGUAAAAUCCAAAUUUGAUGUAUGCAAUUUUAUGCAAAUAUAUGCAUAGGAAAAACUAGUAGUGUGUUACUCUAAAAUGUUAAUAAUGGUUAUUUCUG